rnacentral:tRNA from 1 species
GGUGGCUUAGUUGUAGAGUGCUUGCUUUGCAAGCAUGAGGCCCUGGGUUCAAUUCCUCAGCACCA